rnacentral:lncRNA from 1 species
GACUACAGUCAUCUAUUGUGUGCUACACUGAGCCUCUUUUCAUGCCAGAUAUGGUCUGGGGACCAGACCUGUUUGGACAUGGCUUGGGUGAGAAACUGGUUGCCUUUUCCAAAGAUGAUUUGGAUUUCAAGAGGAAAAUCACAGCAUCAGAGUUCCAAGCAAAGGGGCACUGUAGGCCAGCAAGACUGUGCAAAACUUAAAGCUGCAAAACAACCAGAAUUAAGUCUACCUGAGAACAUCGCUGGGAAGAAAAUUGAGGCCAUAAAGGGAGUGAGGGAAGCCACCGAGUGGAGGUUUCUUUCUGCAAUGGCAGCAUGUGUGUGGCAUGGUGGGAAGCUCUGAACCCAGAACACCUGCUUCCAAGUCCUUGCUCUAUCACUGAAUAGUUUGAAAUUGAACCUGUUUCUUCAACAAUAAAGAGGAAAUAAUGGCACUUAUUACAUGCCAUUAUUAAUGAGCCAAUGAAGGCGAGAACAUAUGAAGGGAGCUGGGCAAAUCUAUCACCACCGAUGGAUUGGAGCAACAACUGAAAACACAUUCUCAGUCAAAAGCAAGGAAUCCCGGGAGGAGAGCCCAUAAAACUUACAUAUCACCUCAUACAGUGGACCCAACUGAAACCAACUUUUCCCUGCACAUUUCUGCCUGAAGUCAUUAACUAGGAUGGAGCUUGUAGGGCAACGCUUCUGGAGGCCAUAGUUCCUCGAUAGAGCAGAACACAGGCAGCAUUCACUGGGAGCUCAGA